rnacentral:rRNA from 1 species
UACGUAGGGUGCAAGCGUUAAUCGGAAUUACUGGGCGUAAAGCGUGCGCAGGCGGUUUUGUAAGUCUGUCGUGAAAUCCCCCGGGCUCAACCUGGGAAUUGCGAUGGAGACUGCAAGGCUAGAAUCUGGCAGAGGGGGGUAGAAUUCCACGUGUGAGCAGUGAAAUGCGUAGAGAUGUGGAGGAACACCGAUGGCGAAGGCAGCCCCCUGGGUCAAGAUUGACGCUCCAUGCACGAAAGCGUGGGGAGCAAAC